rnacentral:misc_RNA from 1 species
AGGUACGCGCACGUACACUCCGCCAACUCGCCGCUCACCUUCCCACUUCCGCGUCUUCUUCAUCCUUUUUACUGGCGUGCUCGUUCGCGCUUGCUCGCGCUCUCUCGUUUUGCUUUUUUUUUCGCGUGUGUGUGCGCGUGUAUUUUGCGGCACACGAGGAAAGAGGCAAAGGCCAAAAAACAACAAAAACGAAUUGCAAUUCGCUGUGGUGUUUGCAACUUUUGUUUUGAGUCCUUUCUCUUGGCGUGCCACUCAGCGAAGGAGACGUGCAGGCGCCCCGCGCACCUGCGAGCAUUCUCCACGCUCAAGUUCGCACAACGACAGACACGCAGGCAAGCAUCAGCAUACGUCCGCAUUUAGCACCUCUUUUCUCUCCGUUUUCGCUCGCUUCUCUUCUACCGCAGCAACCAUCCAUCACGUGCCAGAAAGGAGAAAACGAAAGAGCAAGACGCAUAGCGAGGCGGUACAGCAUCCGGUUGGACUGCCGUUGCUUUUUUUUUUUCGGGAAAACAAAAUCGAGACAUCUCAAGACGAGAGGCAGCAAGAAGCGGAAAAAAAAACGAAAAUACACGUGUGCAGGGCGGCUGAGGAACGAAAAGGGAGUGAGAGAGGGGCAAACUCAGCGAAGCGAGUUCGGGGGCUGUACGUUUUUUUUUUAAUCAUCCCCGUCUCCUACUCAUACUUUGCUUCAACUCACACUCGCACAGACACACGACAACACACAAAAAAGAAAAUACUCUCACCACAUCAUCAUAACCGUCCCACAUCCUCCACACACACAGACAUAAACACGCUAAAAUACGGAGAUUCUCUCUCUGUCUCACUCUGUUUAUACAAUGAGACACUUGCGCAGAUAUCGGCAUUGAUACAAACACAGACACGCACACAGAGGAGGUCGGAAUCGCGCCUUCGCCUUCUUUUUUCUCUUUUUUUUUCGUGUUCCUAUUCGGUGCCCCCGCCACUGAAGAGGAGGAAGGAAACAAACAAACGGACAGCGACACAUAACGGCGGUGCGCCUUCUUCAGGAAGGAGCGAACACACAAACACUCACGCACGCAAGCACACACACAAAGAAAAGCUUGAAAGCGGUCUCGGUGACAGACCACUUUUUUUUCGCUUUUUUGUGCCAUUUUUCCCCUUUCGGCUUUACUAUCCGACUAGCCCACUUCGCAACCGGGAUAGGUGCCUACGCUCUCCCUCUGUUUUCCUCUCGCUGCCGUCACCUUCAUGUGAGUAAGCGAGUGCAAGUGUACGUGCGCGUGUGGUAUCACCGCUUGCCGACGACGGGGUACUAUCGCAUCUCUCACGACUCCCUCCCAUUUUACCGCACGUGACUUUUUGCCUACUUCUGCGACUCUCACUCAAUUUUCUCUGUAUUUUGCCCCUCUCCUCGCGCACCCGCACGCGCACGCUUGUGUGUGUGUGUCUUCUGCUGUGUUUCGCCUGCCCUUUUUAGUCUUUGCCUCUUCUUCUCCUUCCCUUCCCCCUUUUUAUUGUGUACGUCUGCGUGCGUGCGUUGCCCUUGUUAGUUGUCCUUGUGCCUUUCUGCUUUCUGUUCUCUGCUCGUGUGGGUUUGGUUUCGAGCACAACCUCCUCCCUUUUUUUCACUCAGUCGCUCUCUCACGCCUUCUGUGUUUGCUCACCCUUUCCUUGCUUCUUCUCCCUCCCACCAUCACGGCGACCAUCACCAUCUUCCUCAUCUCUGCAGAUCGGCGCGCGAGGCGUUGUCCAUUUUCGUUUAUUAUUAUCAUUAAUUUGGUUCGUUGACACACUCAAAAGGCACGACGCCCCCACAAGGAAAGGGAAGAAGGCAUAGCGGGCAGAUUGCUCUCCGAGACCUUUUUUCUCGCUCGCUCGCUCUCUUUCCUAUACUUUCCUUUCCUCGUUCUCACUUUUAUCCUGCUUGAUUGUAUUUCGUGUCUCGCUCGUCGUCUGCUGGACGGGAGAAUACAGGCAAAUACGUAGCGUACGAGUGCACCCAAGGGAGAGGAGGGGGUGGGAGACCGCGCCACACUCGCACACACGUGUAUAGGCACACGCCCACAAACGCCUUUCACACACGGCCCCUUUCGUCAGCUCGCUCUGUACGCGAGACACCUGACCGCACAUUGCAAUCUGUGUUGUGGACCAAAGCAGAAAAAAGGCCGCGCAGGCGAGGAGAAAGAGCCGGAAAAAAAAAACAGCGGCUGAAAACGGGGCACCGCAUCAGGAUCUCGUGCUUGCGUUUUGCCCGUGUACGGCGCACCUUUGCGGCGUGGCUGAGUUAAGCGAGGCGUUUCAAAGGAAGAGCAACGUCGGCGGCCGAGUCGAGAAAAGAAAAAGAGAAGGUGCAGCCGUGCGGAAACGUCACGCCCAAGUCUUACGGUGGGGUCGAUUGAAAGCGAAGCUCUCGCCAUCAAAAAGCAGCAGCGCUUCGUCUCCUUUCUUCCCCGUUCUCUUCACUGAGUGAAGUCGGCGUUUUUGCGUGCAAAACUGCUCCGCACGCUUUUGUGCGUGUGCGUGUGUGUAUCCCUCUCCGUGCGCUGCUUUUUCCGGUUUUGUGAGGCCGAUAAGCGUGAUAGCACGCAUACUUCCCCACGGAAGAAAAGGGAGUCGAUUUCAGCAACAUUGCCCUCUCUCUCAAGGCCUGACUGACCCCACACAGCAACACGACUACGCAGGACGUCUGGCCGCAGUCUUCUGCUUUCUUUUUUUCAUCCUUCUGGAAUUAGGUGUUUUGCUGCCUCUGGGGUGUGCGCAUCCGCCCACACACCUGCACUGUCGCCGCCGCCUUCCGCUAUCUUUUUUUGGCGCUCCCCUCCCCUCCUCUUCCCCGCUUGAUUGCUCCCGGACGUGGCUUCGCCGCUUCGCUCUUCUCCUCCUCUUCUCUUGACUCAAACCUGCAAAACUAAAGCAGAAAGGAGAGGGAUACAAGGAAACCCGAAACGAAGUCGCGAGAGAAAACGAAAAAAAAAGAGGUAGCCGAGCAUCCGCUGACAAAGGUCUCUCGGCAGGGAGGGGGUGCGCGCGACACCUACUCAUCGAAGCGGACGCAAGCAACGAGAACGGAAACGAAAAGAAUAAAUAAAGGAAAGGAAAAGGGCCAUAUCAGCAGGCAAAAAAAAAAGAAAGACGCGGUUACACUAACGCGUAUUAGAAAAGCUGUCGAAGAUUACACGAUCAGCAGCGGCGACGCGAUACGCUACGGAGGAAGGCACGGUGGACAGCAAAACACAACCACAUCUUCUCCUUCUACGCCCUGUCCCUCUUUUUAUGAUUGUUUCACCCUUCGCCUCAUCAACGGGGCUGCUGUUGUUUUUCCCGCUACCGUGCACAGCAUUGCCGUUUUACUGUUUUUUCACGAUCUUUCUCUUCUUCCCUCCCCCUUUUUAUUUUAGAAGCCCACAAUCACACACACUCUCUCUGGUAUAGUAGAGCGACUGUGUUUCAGGAUUUAUCUUUCCAUGACAUCCGGUGCGUUUUGCGUUUUCUGCUUUGUGCUUAAGCCUUCCUUUGUGUCUGCUUAUUCACUUUUUCCUUUUCUCGUUACUCGCUCGCUGUGCUUUCUUUCCUUUUCUUUACGCUGCUUCCCGUUCCUCUCCCUCCCCCUCUCCCUCUCCCUCGACUCUUCACCGCUUGUUAUCUUUUUGUUGUGUCUUGUGGCUUCUAAGUGCGCUCCUCUGUUGCAUUUCUGUGCGCGCACCCUCUCCUCCCCUCACAAACACGCUCUUCACUUCUGCCACUCGCUUCGCCUGUACUUUCCUCUUGUCGUUCACUCUUCGCCUGUUGUUUUUUUUUUUUGUAUUUUCUUUGCUUUUUCUCCGCCCCGCUCCUCCUCCCCUCGUGUAUGCGGGCCCGCUUCGACUCUCAAUCUCGCUCUUUCUUUCUGUACUUUGGUUUCACUUUUUUGGGCCGCCUCCGCAGGGCCCACUCACGCCCUCAUCACCCUUUUAAACGACAGAGGCGGAAGUCUGUAGCGUGUCUUUGUCCGUGUGCAUGUGUAACGGAACGCAUACGAACAGAGGAAGGCAAACGAACAAAAAAAGCCGCGCGGUCUUCCUCCCCCCGCCUCCCGCCCUUCUCAUCCAGUACACUUUUCCGUUUCGAACCGUCGCUGUGUCUUGUUGCCGUGCAACAACAGAGGCGCAAACAACGAAUAGCCGAUAGGCAAAGAGGCGGAGCGUUGCUGCCCCUCUUUCUCUCUUUCUGUCUAUCUCUCUAUCCCUUCUUCUCAACCCGCGUGUUUCACCCCCGCUUGUUUCAUUUUUUUUUGCUUGUCCUUUUCUUGUUACCCGUUCUUGCGAGGCUGUAUUGCGCCAUCCCUAUCAUCAUCAUCGCAAUCGCUGCCCGCCAUCCACCAUUCUGUGUCGGAAAUUCUCCACACACACACACACAGCGCGCUCCUUAUCCUUCCCCACCCCCUCCCCUCCAUCACCCUUCUCCCUGUGUUCCCGUCAUAGGCUUUUGUUUUUUUAGGUCUUGCUCAUUGUGUGUGUGUGUGUGUACGUGUGCAUGUGUUUUGCGUCAGCCGCCUCCUCUGCAGCUCACCUACCCCUUUCCCCUCUCACACCAUCCUCUCAGGAGUCACAAGAACAGAGCACACGCACACAAGAAAAGGACAACUCUUUUCUUUUGGUUUUUGAAUUCUCUACUUGCUCUGUUCUCUCUCUUUUUUAUCUCGUCUCUUUUUCUUUACGCCUUCUCCUUUUCGUUUACUCGCCUACAUCCCCCACCCUCUCUCUGUCUUCUCGUGUGUUCAUCUUGGACGUGUUUAGUGCUGUCAAGGCCAAGUUCUCCUGCUCUCUUGCCUUUUCUGCUGGCGUGUCUCUGUGUGUGUCGCUGUUCGGCUGCUUGAUUGAGUGCUGCUUUGUUUGCCUGCCCCCUCCCUCUCCCCUUCCCAGUUUUUCUGCUGCCAUACAUUAGCUUCUCUUUCCGUCUCCUGCCGUGCCUGUCUUUCUGCUUGUCUCUAUCAUUUUUUCGGCACCGCGCACCCGCAACUACGCCGUUGUGCCUCAGCCCCUUUCCCCUCAACAACCUCCAUCCUCUUCCCAGUUCCAGAUUCCUAGCGGCUGUAGGUGUACCGGUGCCGACUCUCCUUACAAGAAAAACUAAAGCGUACCAACAGACGGCAUUCUGGACGAAAGAAAAGCAAUUCAAGCACAGCGGAGACGAGUAGCAGCACUAAGCCGUCACUCAACGGCAACACACACACACACACAAACACAAACACACAUACACACGAAAGACGCAUUGGCUCAGUUGGCGCGCAGGCGGUGCUCUUUUUUCACUCUCCCACUCUGUCUCUCUGGAUCUCUGUUGCCCGUUGUCUGUCUUGUGCUUAGCUUGCUAGUCUUAUUCGUCUCCCUGUGCUCCCCUUGUGUGUGUGUGUGUCUGCGUUCUGAUACAUAUAUAUAUAUAUAUAUAUAUAUUUAUUCUGUGACUUUCACCUUUCAUUUAGAUAGCGGGAGCUCACGCACACAUACACGCGUGUGUAUUGCCUCCCUCCUCCCUCCGCCGGUAAGCCGCGCCUUUUUCUUGCUUUUCGGGCCCUUUUUCGUGUCGUUUUUUUUUUUUGUGCUUAGUGAACUGUGCGGGAAAGGCCUCCCCCUCUUUUCGUGUGUGUUUUCCGCUUGUUUUGCAGCAGCGAUUUUUUUUUAUAGUUCCGUUGCCCUCCUCUCCCUCCGAGUAUCUGUGACUGUGUGUGCUCCUGCUCGUGAACUCAAAUCGUGUGUUGCCGUCGUUGGUGCUCUCGCGCUCUUUCUAUUUCACUCUCUCCCCCUUUCUGUUUCUAGUACGCGUGAUUCACCUGCAUGCAGUUCUCAUCUUCGUUUGAUUCGGCAGACAGCGACGCGCUCCGCUUCCUUGCAAACACCGCGCGCUACUUGAUGAUGAGCGGCGAGAGCGAGAACGCAUCCUGUACAACACAUAUCACACUCCCCCAUGAGCUCGACACAGUGCCACAGAUGAUCUCUACGUCUGAGAUCAGCGAGGGCACAUCGUCUUCAAACGCGUCCGCGGUGUCCGCAGGGUCGACUGCCAUUCCCGAGUGUGCGAGCACGCGCGGCAACACGCCUGAUGCGACGGCUACUGCUGCUGCAUUGCCGCCUUUCUCAUGGGCGCUCUCGCUGCACCCGUACGGCGCCAACGUCCCUCUGCUCUACAAGCUGUCCGCGGAGGACGCCGCGCUGCGCGCUGACAUUGCUGUCAACGCUAAGCUCCUUCUUCACACGCUGACCGGCUACGAGGCGGACGACAUCAUCGACUUGCUCUACGUUAACGAAACGUGGUUCUCGACGGAGGUGCUGAUCUACGCCCUAUGUUUGGUGAACCGCCUGACCUCUCGCUAUCCGAGCUGGCGUGCGGAGCACGCCGAGGCGGAUCGCGUCGACGCCAGCGCGGUAGACUCACCCGUUCGCUGCAGCUACACCUCCGGUGUGCAGACCUUGUCCCCCACACUCACGCACGUGUGCAGCAGCACCUCCAGCGACACCAGCCACGUCGACAACGAAGACGACAUUACGAUGAACGAUCGUGUAUCCGAGCCGAAAGAGCGUAUUCGCAGCUCCAGCACAAACAACUUCAGUGAUGUCUUUAACCGCCACAACACACGCCGCCGCGUCGUGGCGCUUCUCUUGAUCGCCGGCAAGUUUCACGGCGAUGUUGUCUACAAGACGUCUUCGCUGGCGAAUGCGCUGAACAAGUUCCGUGACGAGAAGCGCUCGUUGCAGGAGCAGUGCGCUGCUGCCGCCCCGACCGCUCCUACUGCGACCACCCCCGCCAAGUUGAUGCCGAGUCGGCCCCCUCCCCGUAUCGCCCCUGCCCACCUUGGACAAUGUGAAAAGCGGCUCUUCCAGGAACUGGGCUGCACCGUCUUUGUGCACAGGAAGGAGUACCAACACUGCGAGGACAUUGUCUUUCGAGGAAUCUGAACGAUCCAAGGCGGCACGGGGGUGCUCAGUGGCGGUUGAUAAAGGACACACACACACACCCAUGUCGGUGUCUGCCUGACUGCCUGUCUCUGUGUGUGUGUCUGUGCGCUGGAGCUCACACGCGGCGCUUUCUCUGCGGGCGACACGUGUGUUGGUGGUGCCAAGCGCACUGGCGGCGGCUAAAUCUCCCCCAUUCUCCCCGCACCUUCUGCCACUCACCGCGGUUCGCAUCACCUAAUGGCGACAUAGAGAAGGUUCGAUGAAGAGGAAACUGACGAGGUGUCUGUCUUAGCACGGUUCUGGCAGACUCCACGGAACGCUGUGCUUCCUCACUUAUCCCUCGCACUUUAUCGUACGGACUGGCCCGUUGCAUGGUGCGUUUGCCGCUCUCCACGUCUUGCUCAUCCCGGCAAGCGUGAUUUGUUCUUUUCGUGUUUUUUUUUUUAUUGCUCGCAUAUGGGUGAUAUCGCGCAAGGAAGAAAAAAAUGAGCGAAAACCUGCGUGCGUCUCCAUCCUUUUCUCUCUAACCGCCUUUCUUCAUGAGGCGCGCAGCAUCGUGCGCCACCUCCGAGACUCUUUGGUCAGCAGAUGUCCAGUGCGCUCUCUCUCUCUUCUCUCUACCCUCUCAAUGCGUUUUUCGAGCGCUUCAUACUCUUUUUCUGACAUCUUCUAUUCCCUCUCACGUGUGCGUUGCUCUUGUUCUCUCUGUGUAGGUGUGCUAUCGUGUAGGCGAGGCGACCAGCCACGAGGCCCUUGAGUGGUUGCCUGGGUCGGGUGGGGUGGGGUGGGGGUGGGGGGAAGGGGCAUAAAUAACAAAAAACACGAAUCCAGCUGCCUGUUGCACUCAAGCCCCUGCCGAAUUACUCUUCCGCUUUCCAGCUUUCCCCCGCCGCACAUGACGCUCGCCCAACCCCUGCGCCUUUCCUUUUCUACACAUUUACGUGUGUGUGUGUACGAUGCAUGGCAAAACUCUUUUCUCGAUGGCUUCGCGCGCCUCUUUUUUUGGCUGCUCUCCUCCUCCCCUCGUUGUGCGGCGGCCUUUGUGCUGCGAUGCCAAUGUAUCUCCGCUCGGACCUCGUGGGCUCGUCAUGGGCACAUUUGCCUUGAGCUGCUUUUUUUUUGUGUUCCCGUUUUCUCUUGCCUUCCCGAAUGACGGGGGGGGUACGGAGGGCAUGCCUCUGUGCUUGGUGUCUCACUGUCCAGUGCACCCCCCACUCUGUGUGUGGGUGAGGGGGAGCCAGGCAGCCCCCUAUCGCUGCCAAUGCUGCGCCACCUCUGGUGGUGACCGGGUGAGGCGCCUGCGGCGUAGGGGGUGCGAGCGAUGCAUCGCUGCUGAUGCCGGCGGUGAUGCUGUGGACGGCGCUGCGUCGGGGCGGCCCGCGGCAGUGAGCACGCCUGUACCACCCAUAUGGUAGGCAAGAGUGCCUGCGUGGCUCGAACGCCGUAUUCCACCGCCGGCCCUCGCUGCCCACCGGCGAAGGCCGCCUAAGCCACCCCGAGGGAUGCGCCAGGUGACGACCUGCGAGGCGGGCGGGUGGGUGGCGAUCGGAGGCAGGGGCCGUGCUCCGAUGGGUGAGUUGGCGCAUUGCUGUAAUGCGUCUCUUGUGCUGCCUCACACCAGGCGAUGGGGCCUGUGGCAGGCCCGGUAGAGCUGACAUCAUAUUGUGUCGGAGAGCAAUGGGCGCGCUGCGGAAACUAGAACGAAAGUUCUCCUUUUUGCUGCUGUUGAUGCUGAUGCCAUUGACGGUUCGCGCUUGCUUCGAUCCGCGGGGCCACGCGCGCGCAGGUAUAGAGGAGAAGGGAGGGACGGAAAGAAAAAGGGAAGAUGUCAAGCAGAAUGCUCUGUAGGGCGUUUCUAUUGUCCAUCUCAACUUGCUUUCAUCACCCUCGACUCUAUCCUGAUCGCCAUGCAACUGUCUUAGUCAUUUUUCUGACUGCUGCGCGGUAGAAAAGGAUAGGGAAGCCUGU